GGGGGAGAGGCGAGAUGGAUCCCGGCGGAGCAGGAGCAAGGAAAGCAGCUGUACGUGCGUCGCGGAAAGGAAGCCCACCUGGUGAAGUCAAGUAUUCACCUGGAGGUUUGGGUGCAUGAUUUGGUACGGGAAUGAGUUCGCACCUACAGUGGGAUUCUUUCUUGCUACCCACCUGGCCACCUGUCUGAGGUGGUCGUUCGAAUAUGGCAUCUUCAAGAGGAGCUGGUUUUAAAAAUACUGUAAUGAUAACUGGCAAGCGUCAGCUGGGAGGGGGUUGUCAAGCAAAUGUUUUUUGUGUGGCAAAUUUACCUGGAAAUCAGAUACUAUGAAGCAGUAAAACGAUUUGAGUUUGAUGAUCAGCUUGGACCAUAAAAUUUGGAUUCUUUUGGAGACUGGAAACAACUUUCAAGCUACUUGUCACGGAGUGUCAUUGAACGCCUUGUCAAGCUUGAUGGAGACUGUCCUGACUAAAGAAGAUCCACUCUUGGGGGAGCUGCAAUUCUCUUUAUAGCGUUCAUGGUACUGCAGGCAAAAAAACUAAACAGUUGUUUUGAAGACAGCCACUGGGACAGUCACUGGAGGCGUUUAUGUAGUGGAAAGCAUUAGUUACUCCCUCCAUCCACAUAUAUAGGGCCCAAUAUGGAUUUCGAGGUAGCCUUUGACCAAUGAUAAAAUUAUUAGUAUGAGAUAUAUGAUAUAAAAAUUAUUUCAUGAGAAUCUCCUUUCACACACGAAUUCGAUGGUAUGCUUUGUGCAACAUGCAUGCCAUAUAUUAUUGUGCUAACCCGUGGUCAAAGAUAACCUCAAAAAACGCAUUUAGCCCCUAUAUAUGUGGAUGGAGAGAGUAGUCUUCCCUCUUUUGAGCUGU